rnacentral:rRNA from 1 species
GAUGAACGCUGGCGGCGUGCCUAAUACAUGCAAGUCGAGCGAACGGACGAGAAGCUUGCUUUUCUGAUGUUAGCGGCGGACGGGUGAGUAACACGUGGAUAACCUACCUAUAAGACUGGGAUAACUUCGGGAAACCGGAGCUAAUACCGGAUAAUAUCUUGAACCGCAUGGUUCAAAAGUGAAAGACGGUCUUGCUGUCACUUAUCGAUGGAUCCGCGCUGCAUUAGCUAGUUGGUAAGGUAACGGCUUACCAAGGCAACGAUGCAUAGCCGACCUGAGAGGGUGAUCGGCCACACUGGAGCUGAGACGCGGUCCAGACUCCUACGAGAGGCAGCAGUAGGGAAUCUUCCGCAGUGGGCGAAAGCCUGACGGAGCAACGCCGCGUGAGUGAUAAAGGUCUUCGGAUCGUAAAACUCUGUUAUUAGGGAAGAACAGAUGUGUAAGUAACUGUGCACAUCUUGACGGUACCUAAUCAGAAAGCCACGGCUAACUACGUG